UACAGAGGUCCCAAGCGUUGUUCGGAUUCACUGGGCGUAAAGGGUGCGUAGGUGGUUGGGUAAGUCUGAUGUGAAAUCUCCGGGCUCAACCCGGAAAUGGCAUUGGAUACUAUUCGGCUAGAGGUUUGGAGGGGGGACUGGAAUUCUCGGUGUAGCAGUGAAAUGCGUAGAUAUCAGGAGGAACACCGGUGGCGAAGGCGGCUUUCUGGACAGAAACUGACGCUGAUGCGCGAAAGCUAGGGGAGCAAACAGG
rnacentral:rRNA from 1 species